UAUGAAAUGAAAAAACUUCUCAACUUAUUUUCUACUUUAGGUUUCUUUCUGAAUCAUGAUUAUAAUUAUUAUGAUUUCUGUUGUUUUAGUCAGAUAUGAUGCAAAUGAAAAUCAAAUGGUGACAGACUUGUUUCAACAAAGGAGGAUUCUUAAACGUAGAUAUUACCUUGUGGAGAGAGCUAAGGAUGCUAAUAUUGUUGGGAUUUUAGUUGGAACUCUUGGUGUUGCUGGUUAUCUUCACAUAAUCAAUCAAAUGAAGGAGCUCAUAACU